rnacentral:rRNA from 1 species
CCUACGGGUGGCAGCAGUGGGGAAUAUUGCACAAUGGGGGAAACCCUGAUGCAGCGACGCCGCGUGAGUGAAGAAGCGUUUCGGCGCGUAAAGCUCUGUCAGCGGGGAAGAAACACGGUUCGCGAGAGCCGCGGACGGUACCCGACCAAGAAGCACCGGCUAACUCCGUGCCAGCAGCCGCGGUAAUACGGGGGGUGCAAGCGUUGUCCGGAAUCAUUGGGCGUAAAGAGUUCGUAGGCGGCACGUAAAGUCUGGUGUUAAAGGCAGAGGCUCAACUUCUGUACGGCACUGGAUACUUGCGAGCUAGAAUGCGGUAGAGGUAAAGGGAAUUCCUGGUGUAGCGGUGAAAUGCUUAGAUAUCAGGAGGAACAUCGGUGGCGUAAGCGCUUUACUGGGCCGUAAUUGACGCUGAGGAACGAAAGCCAGGGUAGCAAAUGGGAUUAGAUACCCCUGUAGUC